rnacentral:piRNA from 1 species
UGACGGUCAAUCCAACCAAAUGUCAGGC